rnacentral:rRNA from 1 species
UACGGAAGGGGCUAGCGUUGUUCGGAAUUACUGGGCGUAAAGCGCGCGUAGGCGGCUUGGCGAGUGAGGCGUGAAAGUCCUGGGCUCAACCCGGGGACGGCGCUUCAGACUGCUUGGCUGGAGUCCGGAAGAGGGUAGUGGAAUUCCGAGUGUAGAGGUGAAAUUCGUAGAUAUUCGGAGGAACACCGGUGGCGAAGGCGGCUACCUGGUCCGGAACUGACGCUGAAGUGCGAAAGCGUGGGGAGCAAACAGG